rnacentral:tRNA from 3 species
GCCUCCGUAGCUCAGUUGGCAGAGCGGCCGCCUCGUAAGCGGCAGGUCGGCGGUUCGAGUCCGCCCGGCGGCU